rnacentral:tRNA from 1 species
GGGGUGGUCGCCUAGCGGCUAUGGCACCUGACUGUAAAUCAGGCGACUUCGGUCAUCGCGAGUUCGAGUCUCGCUCGCCCCA